GAUGAACGCUGGCGGCGUGCCUAAUACAUGCAAGUCGAGCGAACAGACGAGGAGCUUGCUCCUUUGACGUUAGCGGCGGACGGGUGAGUAACACGUAGGUAACCUACCUAUAAGACUGGGAUAACUUCGGGAAACCGGAGCUAAUACCGGAUAAUAUUUCGAACCGCAUGGUUCGAUAGUGAAAGAUGGCUUUGCUAUCACUUAUAGAUGGACCUGCGCCGUAUUAGCUAGUUGGUAAGGUAACGGAUUACCAAGGCAACGAUACGUAGCCGACCUGAGAGGGUGAUCGGCCACACUGGAACUGAGACACGGUCCAGACUCCGACGGGAGGCAGCAGUAGGGAAUCUUCCGGAAUGGGCGAAAGCCUGACGGAGCAACGCCGCGUGAGUGAUGAAGGUCUUCGGAUCGUAAAACUCUGUUAUUAGGGAAGAACAAACGUGUAAGUAACUGUGCACGUCUUGACGGUACCUAAUCAGAAAGCCACGGCUAACUACGUG
rnacentral:rRNA from 1 species